rnacentral:sRNA from 1 species
UUUGCUAGAUAUUGACAGAAUCAAGUCCCAGAACCCAUGCAAAUAUAAGGUAAGUCCCUCCCACACUCAGCUAGGGCAGUACAAACAAGCUAGACUGUAUCAGGAGCCCAGGACUCCAGCUGGAGGGAACGUUGAGCCUGGGUUGGGGGUGGGGGCUGUGGUCAGACGCACAUCCUGGGCAUAGAUGGUAACUCAGGCACCACAGGUGCGCUGGGCUCUGCUGACCCUCCCUGGCGUCAGAAACAAAGUAAAAAGGAGCUUUCUGCAGAAGGAAACCUUCCUUCCUUCCUUCCAGAAGUGCUGACUGUGGGAUGACUGCCGUUUGGGGCAGGGAGUCUUUUGUCUGUUCUGAGGCUGCUUCCUCCUCUUGGCCCCGCCCUACAGGUCAUGAAGGAGAAGGGCAAGAGGUCCUCCAGAAUCAUCCACUGCAUCCAGCUAGAUGUCAGCCACACCCUGCAGAAACACAUGAUGUUCAUACAAAGAUUCGGAGUCAAGCAGCAGGAAUUAUGUGACAUCCUCGUGGCCUAUUCUGCAUAUAACCCUGAGGUGGGCUACCACAGGGACCUGAGCCGCAUCACUGCCAUCCUCCUCCUGUGUCUGCCAGAGGAAGAUGCUUUCUGGGCGCUUACCCAGUUGCUCGCUG